UUUUUUUUUUUUUUUUUUUAGUAAUUUAGGUUGUCAUCUAUAUUACUAAAAUUUACGACAUUAAGAUUUUGCUUACCUGGGCUGAUUUAAAAUCUAGUCUAGCCCAUUAUAUCGUUAAGUGUGGUCAUGGCCCAUUUUUAGACAACAUCCAGAGGCAGCCAGAAGUAAGGCCUUGUUGGAUACUCCGUCACUACACUUAUUUAUUUAUUUAAGUCUUUUUUGUGCUCACAACAUUCCUAAAGUUGUUUAUGAACAUUAUUCGCCAAGAUCAAUGUAAAAAUUUAAAAUUUAUUCAAAAACUUUUGCAACUAAAUACUUAUUUUGUUUUAGAGAAAAAUCCAGUUUUGAUAUCCAAUUUUUGACAUAUGAGCAGUUUUUAUCCUUAAAAUUUGGACAAAAGUAAAUCUGGUAUCUAAUCUUUCAACUUUUGAGUACAUUUAAUACCUUUGAUGAUUUUUUCCCAAAUUGUUACAAAAAAGAGUCACGCGAUAGUCACAUGUUCGGCAACUAUUCUAUUAAAAAUGGCAAAAAAAUGUAAAAUAUCCUUCUGAUACUAAAUACUUAGUUUAAGAACUAAAUCUUACAUCUUUUUGACAUUUUUUUAUGCAAUACUUUACUAUCAUGUGACUCUUUUCGAUAGUAAUUUGAAAAAAUCCGUUAAGGGUACCAAAUGUGUUCAAAAGUUGAAAAAUUGUGUGCUAAAUUUACUUUUGUUCAAAAUUUGGGGACUAAAAGCACUCAUGCAUUGUUUGACAACAAACCAAAAUGGGGCUUACCAUAUUACUGGAAAACAAACUAAGUAUUACAAUCGUAUUGUUAGCUUAAAUUAAAAAUUAGGCUAAGUGAGCGAGCUUUUGUCUCCUUAGUGAGAGUUGCUUUUUCUCUCACUUGGAAAAUGUGUGCUUUUCUCUCUUUCAUGGGAAUUUAAAAUUUCAAACCACAAAAUUCAAAACACGUACUUCUCUGAUACUAAAAUCUUGGCCGGGACAGCAACAAUACAUUGGAAAAUUAAGAUCAGCAAGUCAUAAAUCACUCUAAAUAUGAAUGCGACAUAAAUGCCAAUGGAAGAAAACCAUAUAUUGUUAGCAUAAGAAGCAUCUCCAAGCAUUUCCAUCAGUCGGCUAUAUGCUACUGAUAAGAAGCAUCUCCAAGCUAUAUGCUAUAUCCUCCAACCUUGCCGAAUUCUUGAGCCUUGUCUUCCAAAUUUGUGGUUGUGUCUUGUGUCUAGUAUUCCUUUUCUUCUUUCUGUGUAGCAGCCAAAGCCUUAGUGUGCCUUGUACUGUCCCUUUCUUCUAUUUUCUCUACUCCUUUGGUUGAGUUGGCAUAGUUUUAAGGAAUUGUGUGUGGUAUACUAUUUAAAACUGUCUUAAACAUUAUGGAGGAAGAACUAGCAGAAAUAAUGCAAAAAUUUGUACUUUCAAGCAAAGAGAUAGGUGGAGCUGACCUUAGAUCCAGGGGAUAUAGACUCAAGAAUCAAGGAAUGUCAGGCCAACUUAGUGGAAAGAAUCAUGGGGGAUAAGAUAGUUAAUUUUGUGGGAGUUGAGAACUUUGUCAUCACAGCCUGGGACUAUCCCAAGGAUUUGAAGACGGUGGAACUAGGAUCUAAUUUGUUCCAAUACAACAUUCCAAAGUAAGAAGACAGGAAUCGCAUCUUAAAUGAAGGACCAUAUAUACUGGACAGCCAAAUACUGGUGCUAAGGAAAUGAUUUGCAGGAAUAGAGGAAGAUAGCUCUACAUUUAAUAUAGCUCCAUUAUGGAUACAAGCACAAAACUUGCCCGUCCAGUGGAUUUCCAAAGGAGGAAGUGAUGUGUGCACGGACCUUGGCCCACCAAUGACCCAGUUCAAGUACCAUUGGGCCCAGUCACAUGUGCACGGGCUAAGCAAUUCAAGGAACGUUCAAGACCAACAUGGAGUUCACUAAGAUAUUGAGGGCUUGGAGAGAGACAAUCGAGUCGUUUACACCAUGAUCCAAGUCCACGAAGAGUCAAGCGGGCCACCAAGCGAAUAAGGCCUUAGGCCCCAUCAAUUAGUUAGCAAUUAGUUAAUGAUUAAGUAAGAGCAUGGGCCGGCCCAUCUUGUUCCAAAAACAUGGGCCGACUUUUUCCUUUUCCUAGCCUUUAGGGUUUUAGUCACUUUAGCCUAUAAAUAGGCUUGCUUUGUAAGGUUUAAGGGAGACGUUUUAUCAAUAAAGUUUUGCAUAUUUUCGAUUCUUCUUGAGAGAGAGAUUCGACCCUUUUACUUGCUUUGGCAAGGGUUUUGAGCAGUUUUGCGUUCUGUCCUAGAUUGUUCUACCGACCUAUUCCCCUGGAGUAUUCACCUUCAUCGGAGUGUCGUCUACCGUCUUGAAUCAUAUCGUGUCGUCCGUUUGGUUCUAGACCCCGCAAUUCCAAGCGUUGGACAUCCUCGCUAGAUCCUUGGGCAAACGUGCUACGGGUCUCGAAACGUGUUGAUCGAGGGAUGAGCACAUACACGUGAGCUUGUGUGACGUGAGGAAUCUCCUUUUCUUUGCUUACCAUUUUGGCAGGUCACGCACUCAUGCCUAGAGAAGUUGCAUCUUACCGAUACAACCAAGAAUUCUUGGAGAAUGAGCCUUUCAAGAGGAGGGGUCUCAAGAUGCCUACUCACAAGUACUCUAGUUCCAUGCAAUCCAGUUCACAACAUGGGUAUCAUUCACUCCGGGAGGAGAUGCAACGCCACCGUGCUUUGUGUGUAUAUGAAAGGUAUAAACAAGAUUGUGAUGAGUGUGAGAAGGACCAAAGAAGUCUGCGUAGAGCAUCUAAAUCGAGGUCAACUUCAAGCAAACGAGGUGCAUCUAAGAAGUGUCUUGACAAUCAAGACGAGGAGUUUGAGAAUUCUCGAAUUGAGUCAAAGCUUCGUGAAUCAAAGGAUAAAUUCCGAAGUCGGACUAAUGCAUUGAUUGAUUCUAUGAUGGAAAGACUUAGCCAAGUAUGGGAUUCCCACUUGGAGCAACUUAAUCAUGUGUCGACUGGUGGUAACAAAGGAAAUAUUCAUCCUAGUCCCUCGUCGAUUGAAGAGCCCUCUAUGAAUGAGAUGCAACUAAGCCAUGAACAUAAUCCGAACUCAAGUGCAAUGAAUGGACAAUGGUCCGAGACAAAUGGAGUGGGAAAAGGCAAGAAUAGUUUGGCCUUAUUGAUGAGUAAAGAGGAGGAGUUGGCUAUGUUCGCAAAAGUUGAAAGUCUGGACGUGUUGUUUGCUAACAAGCUAACAUGUGUUUUGUUUAGUACCUCUUCUUUUGUGCAGAUUAAACAAAGUCAAGUAGAGUUGGUCAUGGCAUGUUCCAUUCCCAUGUCACUUGGACACUUUGCGAGUUUCCAUGGAGUUUGUCUUCUAGGAGCUAAAUCUCUUUGGUCUCAAUUCAUGGAACCAUGUCAACUCAAACCCGUCCACACCAUUGGAGGAUUGAUUCGAGCUCGUCUUAAAAGGGAAAUUUCAGAUUCUACUGCUUGUUCUCUACCUAUGGUUUAUUCCUCACCUUUGCCUUAUUUUGAGCAUGAUACUAGCACUAACUCUUGUCGCUCUCAUGUAGGUGUUAAAGAGAAGUGUAAAGGACUAGCACUGGCAUCUCAAGUUGAAUCAAUUGGUAGAAGGAAUAUUGAAGUGUCAAAGGGAGUUUUCUCAUUUCCAUCUUGCUCUACACCUUCUUACCAUCUAGUUAAUAAUGUACCAUUAGUUCUUUACCCGAUUUCCGAAUUGCUUCAAGUUGAAGGUUAUUUUGUUUUUGUAGGUUGUAAUGCUGUCCAAAAUUUUCCAACUAUGGUUAAGGACUUGCAACCCGAUUUCGUGCUUAUUCCUGCUGAAAGUGGAGCAUGUUCGUGCUUCUUCACAUGUCCAAAAGCUGGUCACCACGAGCUUACUUCACCAACUCCAACUUGCACAAAUUCAUAUGAUUCGUAUGGAGUGCGUCUCACUUCAUUGCUGCCACUUUUGUCGGGUGAUACCCACAAAUGUGUCAAUAAAGAUCCGAACGUUGGUCUUACAUCACUGGUUCGUACUUCUAGGGAAGUGCAACCCGAUUGGUUCAAUGUUUCACCUCCAAAUAGGCAAGUUGUGCCAAAUCAGCAACAACCAGGGACGAGUCAUACCACCUUGACAAACCCGAUUUGGAAUUUCUCUUGCUCCCAUGAGCAUCAUUCUGAAGAUCCUUAUCUUGUGCAUGAGAAUGGUGACACUAUAACAAUGCAUGGCCGAAGGAUGAUUAGAGCGCUUUGGAUUGCUACCUGGAAGUUUCGCGAGCCUUACACAAGCUCUUUCCUAUCUUGGCGCAUGUCCUUGUUUGAGAGCCUAAUGAAGCUGACCAAACGACAUUUAACUUGGCUCGUGACCUUUCAUUUGUUCCCAACGUGGCUGACUUCCAAACGCACUAUCGAUUUGAGUUGUCAUACUACUAACUCUUGUUAGUAUCUUCCAUCCCCAUCUAGAUUUGAGGACAAAUCCUUCUUAAGAGGAGGGGACUGAUGUGUGCACGGACCUUGGCCCACCAAUGACCCAGUUCAAGUACCAUUGGGCCCAGUCACAUGUGCACGGGCUAAGCAAUUCAAGGAACGUUCAAGACCAACAUGGAGUUCACUAAGAUAUUGAGGGCUUGGAGAGAGACAAUCGAGUCGUUUACACCAUGAUCCAAGUCCACGAAGAGUCAAGCGGGCCACCAAGCGAAUAAGGCCUUAGGCCCCAUCAAUUAGUUAGCAAUUAGUUAAUGAUUAAGUAAGAGCAUGGGCCGGCCCAUCUUGUUCCAAAAACAUGGGCCGACUUUUUCCUUUUCCUAGCCUUUAGGGUUUUAGUCACUUUAGCCUAUAAAUAGGCUUGCUUUGUAAGGUUUAAGGGAGACGUUUUAUCAAUAAAGUUUUGCAUAUUUUCGAUUCUUCUUGAGAGAGAGAUUCGACCCUUUUACUUGCUUUGGCAAGGGUUUUGAGCAGUCUUGCGUUCUGUCCUAGAUUGUUCUACCGACCUAUUCCCCUGGAGUAUUCACCUUCAUCGGAGUGUCGUCUACCGUCUUGAAUCAUAUCGUGUCGUCCGUUUGGUUCUAGACCCCGCAAUUCCAAGCGUUGGACAUCCUCGCUAGAUCCUUGGGCAAACGUGCUACGGGUCUCGAAACGUGUUGAUCGAGGAACGUAUCAGGAAGGAAGACACAUUAAACUUCGUAUGAUGGCACACAUAUCUCAGACUUUGAUGAGAGGAAAAAUGGUAAAAUUGAAUAAGGUGAUUAAGUGGAUUAACUUUAAAUAUGAGCGCCGUCCGAAUUUUUGCUACAAAUGUGGAAAAUUGGACACAGCGAAAGGAAUUGCAAAACAAUGGUGGCAAUAGAGAGAGGCCAACUGGAAAACCAAUUUAGUCCCUGGAUGAGAGUUGGAGGAAGUAAUACCUCACCACAGAAGUGCCAAACCAAUAGUAGGUACACAAAUGACAGAAUUCAUUGCGGGUUCAAGAAUGAGGAAUUAGUUCCAAGCAAGGCAGUGGAGGAGUUGCAAACUAUAGAGAUGCAGACUGGGAAGGAAAUGACAAAAGAAGUCAAUACAAAGGCAAGAGGCACUAUUUUUGCAAAAUUUGAGAAAGAGGUAGUUGGAAUUGCACUGUUGGAGGCAAGGGUGAAACAGCAGACUCAAUUAAUUAAGGGAAAUAGUCCAAGGGACACCCCCAAUCAAAGCAACGAUCUGGCAGAAUCAAGCAAUAUCUCUGGUGCCAGAAGCAGCAACCAUGGUGCUGGAAUAGAGGAAAUCCACCUCAAAAACAGCAACCUGGAUGUUAAUAGCCUUAAAAAAGGGUAGGAACUAUAGCAGAAUAAAGAAAGCAGCUUGAUCAGAUAGGGAAAAAUGAAUUGCAGGUAGAAAAAGAGGAAAAGAUGAAAGAGGAGCAAGGAGAGGAAAUGCAGGUUGAUGAAGGAAUUUCUGAAAAGAUAAAGGUGGUAGCAUUAAAAAAAGAAAGGAGAAUGAACAAGCAAAUCAAAUCACCAACAAGAACCAGACAACAAUUAAAGGAGUCAAAUGGACAGUGUAAUAGACCAGAACACCAAGGGAAGCAAAAGGUUAGUUUGAGAAAUGAGGAAAUGAGGGAUGCUGAGAUGGAAGAUCAAGACCAGAAAAGAAAUAGAAUUAUUAAGAUGUCUGUGUGUGAUGCAGGGGAAGAAGUAGGGGUAGAGGCUAGCCCAACCUGGUCUCCAAAAUCCGCAUGAGAAUACUGAUGUGGAGUUCUCAAGGUGCAGGCAGCCCCUUGGCAAUUCCUAGUUGAAGGAGAUUAACAACUUCUUCUCCCCCAAUAUGAUUAUUCUGAGUGAGACAAAAAAUAAGACAAAGUUUAUAAAAAAUUUUAAAAAAAGAUUAAAUUUUAAUGAAUGUUUUGUAGUCGAAGCAAUGGAUAGAUUCGGUGGCAUGACACUUAUGUGGAACAAUGACAUAAAAAUUUAGAGAUCAUACAGUCAACAUUAACCAUUGAAGCACAUGUGUUAGACCUUGAAACACAAAUGGAUUGGUGGUUCAUAGGUAUUUAUGCAAGUUGUUUGGAUCAAGUCAAAGGAAUCAAUGGAAAGUUAUUGGAGAAAGGAAAAUGGAUCUAGGAAAACAUGUGGAUAAUAGCAGGUGCUUGUCAAUGAUAUAGUAUCCAAUGAAAAAAAUAGGGUGGCAAGGCAAGAGAGCAAUAAAGCUUUAGGGAUUUUAGGAAUUUGAUUGCAGAUAAUGAGUUAAUAGAUAUAGGUUUUGAAGGAAAUCCCUGGAUAUGGUGUAAUGAUUGGGACUGGAAGGGUGAAGUAAGACAAAGGCUUCAUAGAGCUCUAUGUAGCCUACUCUGGUUUCAGACUUUUGAUAGCUAAAUGUGCUUGUGUGGAGAAUUAUGGGUCUGAUCAUAGCAUGCUAAUGAUUGACAAUAACCCCCAAAAUCACGGGAAGAAGAAGAGGUUUCUUUUUUAUAAACGUUUGCUACAACAUGAUGAGAUACAUCAAGUGAUCAAGAAUGCUUGAAAUAUAGAUUGUGAAAGGCUAAGAAUGUUUAGACUCACAAAGAAAAUUACCAACUGCAAAAUGGCUCUCCUUAAGUGAAAAAAUAAAUUCCAAGGAAACUCCAAGCUAAAAAUUGCCCAGUUCAAGCAACAAAUGGAGCAAGUGAAAAAAAAAAAAUCAGAUGAAGAGAACAGAAAAGAGAAAAUUAGAGACUUGAAGAUUCAGCUGAAGGAAGCAUACUUAGAAGAAGAAUUGUACUGUAGUCAAGAAAACAGAUGCAUUUUGCCAAGAGAGGGGGAUAAAAACACCCAAUAUUUUCAUGCUAGUGUGAAAGGCAGAAGGAAAAUAGAAUGUAGAAUCUGCAAAGAGAAGACGAAUCAUGGACAGGAAGUGAAGAGGAACUGGGAUUGGAGGUAGUAGGUUACCAUAACCAACUCUUCAACAGUUUAGGGGUGAAGUGUUUAGAUGAAAUUUUAGAUGGUAUACCACAUACAAUUUCUAAGCAAAUGAAUGAUAACCUAACCAAAGUGGUAGAAAAAGUGGACAUCAAGAGUGCAUUGUUCUCCAUGAAUCCAAACAAAUCCCCAGGUAAUGAUGGUACGAGUCCUCUUUUUUUUUCCAAGAAUUCUGGUAUAUUAUUAAAGAUUAUAUCAUCGGUGCCAUCCAAACCUUUUUUCCAUUCUAGCAUUAUGCUCAAGUCUUUGAAUCAUAUGCUGAUCUGUUUAAUUCCUAAAGUGGAAAAUCCCACUAUGUUGAAGCAUUACAGACCCACAAGUGUCUAUAAAGUUCUGUACAAAAUCAUCUCCACAAUCCUCUCUAAUAGACUCGAAAAGGUUUUGAAUGGCUGUAUUAGUAAAAUUUGGCUGCUUUUGUCCCUGGUAGGCAGAUUUUACACAAUGUUUUAAUUUCUUAUGACUUUUGCAUCAUUUAAAAAAGUAAAAAGAGUUUCAUUGACCCUCCAACUCUUUACCAGGUAAAGUUUUAGCCCUCCAAUAAUUAACGGUAAAGUUUUGGCCCUCAAUCUAAUAAAAUAGCAUAUUCAUGGCCCUUCUGUCAGAUCCAGCAAUUAAAUUUGACGGAAAGCAUUAUCUCGUGAGAUGCACGACUAAAUAUCAAGGGCAUUUUAGUCUCUAAAGGAGGGAACCUGAAAAUCUAGAAAGGGAGAGCUUUGGCUGACCCAUCAAGAUUGCAGAUCUAAAUUAUAAAAUUGAGGCUUGAAGUAGCAGAAGGGGUGGAAAUUGUUGGCAGCUGCCGAAUCAUGAUUCAUCAAUUUUUGGAACAGCAGGGCAAGACCGUAGGCAGUAUGCGCCUGCACCACAAGCUUCCAUGUCUGCAAUUGUUUCUUCGGCGUCAGCUUCCAGCAGGCAGUAGGAGUGGAGUGGGAGAGCAAUUGAGUCUGAUAGUGCAUCAGUGGCAGCAGGCUUAGGACUUGGGCUGCCAUGUGAUGGUGGGUCCUUGGAUGGAAUUCUUCUUGUCAACCAUUAAAGACUACCUUUGGUUGAUCCAGACACAAGGAAAAAGGUAUGUCUGAGAUUUAUUGCAACACCAAGGUACUCUAGCACUUCCGCAAGUACUUUGUCAGAACCUUCAGAACCUGAACUCCAUUUUAUGUAUUUACCUCCAACAACCCAAGAUGCAGAUGGUGGGAAAUUUGAGUUUUGUGAAGGCGUAUGGACAUUGAGAUGCCCAAGCACUGCAGAAUACUCGGAUUGACUAAGAGCAAGCAAUGAAUUGUGACUAUCUGGUUCCAGUUGAUGCACAACAAUUAACACUUUCGCCGCAGCAUCCGGAUCGAAUAGUUUGAUUUUUUCGCACUAGGGUUUUGGAGCAAAAGGGGUGGAAAUUGUUGGAGAGAAAAUUAGUGGUUAAAGUGUUUUUACUCUUUCUUUACUCAGAAACUAUAAUACCCUUAAUAUUUGGCCGUACGUCUCGCAAGAUGAUGCUUCUCGUCAAAUUUAACUGCUAGGUUUGACAGAAGGGCCAUGAAUAUUCUAUUUUAUUAGAUUGAGAGCCAAAAUUUUACCUUUAAUUGUUGGAGGGCUAAAACUUUACCUGAUAAAGAGUUGGAGGACCAUUGGGACUCUUUUCCCUUUAAAAAAUAAAAGGCAAGGAAAGGAUGCAUAUUUUGUCUUGAAAUUAGAUAUGUCAAAAGCGUAUGAUAGAGUGAAAUGGAGAUUUUUCGAAGAAAUACUGAAGAGGAUGGACUUUUGUGAUAUGUGGAUCAAGUGGAUCAUGAGUUGUAUCUCAACAAUCACCUACUCCUUCAAUAUCAAUGGAGAGUUAAGAGGAUAUGUGAUUCCAAAGAGAGGAAUCAGACAAGGAGACCCUUUGUCUCCAUACACAUUUUUGCUGUGCUAUGAAGGUUUCACUAAUUUUCCCAAGAAUGCAAGAAAAGAAAAGAGGAUCAUAGGAAUGAAAAUUUGUAGAGAAGGACCAUCAAUAGCUCACUUGUUUAUAACAGGUGAUUCUCUGGUAUUUAGCAAGGCAGAUCGUACUGAUGCAGCUAAGUUGAUACAGAUAUUGAGAAUAUAUGAGAAAGGCUCUGAUCAAGUGAUUAAUUUGAAAAAGUUUUCUGUGUUAUUUAGUAAAAAUGUGUCUCAGUCAACACACAAGGAGAUAUGCAGAAACUUUGAGAACCGUCAAGCUGUAUCCUAAGGGAAAUACCUGGGCUUGCCCAUGGUGAUAACAAGGACAAAACAGCAAAUAUUUGGGUUUAUCAGAGAUAGCUAUGAGAGGAGAAUGAAGCAAUGGAAGAAUAAACUAUUUAGUGCUACUGGUAAAGAAGUGUUACUUAAAGCAGUGUUUAUGGCAUUUUGCACUUAUGCCAUGUCUUGCUUCAAGUUGCCAGUCAAGUUAUGCAAAGAAUUGAGUUCCAUGAUGUCCAAUUUCUGGUAGGGAUAGGCAAAUGGAAAGAAGAAAAUCCACUGGUGUUCUUGGCAAAAACUCACACAAGAGAAGAAGAGGGAUGGACUGAGUUUUAGAGAUCUACAAAAUUUUAAUAGAGCCCUGUUGGAGAAACAAGUAUGGAUACUGAUAACAAAUCCUAAUUCACUGGUAGCCAAGGUUCUAAAAUGCCAAAUAUUAUCCUAAGGAGUCCAUUUUCAAAUAUAACGUCCACCAAAAUGCUUCUUGGAUUUGGCAGAGUUUGAUAGGGGUCAGGGAGAAUGUGGAAAGAGGAACCAGAAGAAAGAUUGGAAAUGGUAAAAGUACAAGAAUAUAGGAUGAUAACUGGAGACCUGAGAAUCCACAAGGGAAGCCUAUAUCAGCUAAGCCUCAGGAAUGCACUGUUCAAAAAGUGGAGGUCCUAAUACACAAUUUCAAGUGGAAGAGACCUCUGGCAGGGAGGAUAGUCUCUUUUGGUUACACAGUGGAAAUGGCCAGGAUACAGUAGACUCAAGAUAUAAGGAACUCAACAGGCAAGGCAGCAUAUGGCAACAAAGGAUCUGCAGGAGAAGAAACAAGCAUGGAGGAGAAGCACUUAUGGAAACAUCUGUGGAAACUCAACAUAAAACACAAAUUGAAGCUAUUUAUUUGGAAAUGCAUGAACAAGGCCCUUCCUAUUAAUGAAGUCAUCUAUAAUAGAAUCAAGAUGGGAACACCAAUAUGAAGAAUCUGUGGAGAGGAUAUAGAGACAAUAGAACAUUUCUUUUUUCAUUGCAGGACAGCUGAGGAAGUGUGGCAGUUAUCACCAGUGAGAUGGGAUGGACUAGAAGAUCAAAAACUUCAGGAAGUGGUGGAGUGCACUGACUGAAGCUAAAUGUAGACUAGAAGGAGUGGAACAUAUAGCACUCACUGUUAAUAUCUUAUGGCAGCUAUGGAAGGCUAGAAAUGGAAGAACCUUCAAUGAGACUCCAAGACAUCCAAUGAAGAUCAUACAGAAGGCACAUGGUGAAUGGCUGGAAUUCACAGAAGUAAGGGAGAAAGAUAAAAAGGAUGAGCACACCAGAAACAACAAGAGCAGAAAGUGUGCAGCAGGAAAGAAACUAGGCAAUUGGUUUAAUAAACCUCAGCAUAAUAACUAAACAGAAAGCAGACAGCUGCGAGAUGGGGAUUUGAAUCAUAGCAGAAAAUAGCAGCUAUCAAGUGCUAGCUCAAUGGGCUGAGGAAAUAAUCUCAUGAACCAUGCUGUGGCCAUAAAACUUGCAUCAUGUAAGGCAAGGGAACAACAGUGGAGAAAGAUCAAGGUAGGAGUCCCACAGCAGCACUUACUAAAGAUGCUAAGAGUCAACAAGUCCAAAGACAUGAGAUUGUACUCCCACCUAGAGGAUAUCCAUAACUUAUGCUCUAUGACUGUGGAAUGCUAAUUUGUUUUGACUAGAACCAAAAAUACUGAUAGAAUUUACUCUAUUAGCAAUUAUGCUCUAAGUAUAUCUUUUGACGAGGUGUGGUUUAACCCUCAGUGCCAUAGUGCACUUGUGUAGCAGCUAAUCGAGCCUUUGCUCACAAAGUGUAAAGUUCAUACACAAUAUCAAUAAAAUCACCAUCGUUUCUGGAGAAAAAAAAAGUCACCAAAGGGCUGCAUGUUUAACCUGAACCGGCAAAUUCUAACGUGGAUGAAUUGAAAUUCACAAAAUACUGCCAAUAUUAAAUUGAUGGUUGAUGGUAUGCGGUGGUCGGUUCGAAAUGCUUUGUUCCAAAUUGAAAUAUCCUCAUCUGGUGACUACAAUAAUGGAUCCUGUCAGUAGUCGACUUUAACAUUGUGAUUGCGUUUAGCUGUUUAGAUUAAAAAAAUGUUUUAGUUAGGUACAAUUGAUCUUAAAUUAGAUGCUAGUAGCAUUCUUGCAUUACAAUUCAGAAACAAAAAGGGUCAAGUAUGUAUGGCGGAGGCGAUGUCAUAGAAAAUGCAAUUUUUCUGGCAGUCAUGAAAGGAAUCUCUAAUUCAAAGGAGCUGAUAACAUAAAUGUGACUUGAAAAUGCAGUUUUAAUGGCAUAUUCUACAGUGACUUGAAAAUACCAAAAGCGCUCACUCAUUCACUAGAAAUAAAGUGAAAUACGCAUGAAAAAGAAAUUAAGAUCAUGAAAUUGUAGAAUCACACUGAUGAUGCACGCCAUUUGGGUAGAAAUUCCUAUGCCAUUAAAACUCUAGCAGAAAUUCCUAUGCCCUCAAAACUCUAGCAAUUUCUUUGAAAGUUUCCGAGAUUUUGAGUGAUGUGUUGUUUAGUCACAUUUUAAUUGCCUAAAUAGAGCAAUACUACACAAGAGGGAUAUCUAAUACAGGAUUACAAAUGAAGGAUUUAGAUAGCAGGAAACUAGAGGAUGUUAUCUUCAGCCAAAGUUAGUACUGGAUGAAGUAAUACUUUGGAUGACAAACAACCUUGAAUAUCUGUAGUUGCUCACCAUAAGGAACAAACAGAGAACCGAAGGUAUGUUAUCCAUAAACUUGAUGCUUUUACAACAAACAGCAGAAAAUCUAAACAAUGAACAAUGCAAACUUUCUUUGAGGGAAAACGUUUUUAUAGCUCUUAAAUUGCAUGAAUGUUUUGAACGUGCAGAAUUAGCGUUUGAUCACAUACAAUUAUCAUUUUCAGGUAAAUUGAGUUGAUAUGAAGAUACAAAGUUUUGUAAUGGAUAUAAAUUAUGAAUGAAUGUUGUGGGCGGAAAAUAAGAUUAAUCUGAAUAAUCGGCCUUUAAGAUCACAAAUGACUGGUGAUAGUUUAGUCAUAGGCAAGCUGGUCGUAUCAAAGAGCAUUGAUAAAUUUCUCCAAUGCAUAUUCAACCCCUCAUUAGUUCCGAACCAGAGGAAUUCAAUCAACAAAGUUGGAAGUUACGGACAGUAAAACAAAUGUUCAACUGCAUAUUUUCAACAUAUGACAGCGUUACUGUACUUCUUUAGGAAGUGAGAAAUUCGACGUCUACAAAUUACCAGAAACAAGUUGAAUUAUUACUGAUAUCAGCACUAAUCAAAGUCCAUAGCAGCGUAAAGCUAAAUUAAAGUUGAAUGUAAACCUAGCAAGGAUAAAGCAACGAUA
rnacentral:lncRNA from 1 species